GGCUUGAUAGCACAAUGGCUACUGCGUCUGCUUUGAAUUUACGCUUCUUGUGAUAUCUUCAGCAGAAGAUCCUUGUUCGACUCAGGGUCGGGUCA